UACGGGGGGUGCGAGCGUUGUCCGGAAUCACUGGGCGUAAAGGGCGCGUAGGUGGUUUGAUAAGGGUGUGGUGAAAGUCCGGAGCUCAACUCCGGAUCUGCCGUGCCGACUGUCAAACUCGAGGGCUGUAGAGGCAGACGGAAUUCCGGGUGUAGCGGUGGAAUGCGUAGAGAUCCGGAGGAAGACCGGUGGCGAAGGCGGUUCUCUGGGCAUGUCCUGACGCUGAGGAGCGAAAGUGUGGGGAGCGAACAGG
rnacentral:rRNA from 1 species